rnacentral:misc_RNA from 1 species
AAAAAUUGUGCUAAUAUACAGUUAACAGCUGAAUCUUAUAAACAAUUCUAUGUUGUCAAAAUUGAAACUUUGGUAAGAACCCUAUAAGAAAUGUAAGCUGGCAUAAUUGAACUAAUGAAUUUCAUUUUGAGAAGGAACCUGUGUUUCUAUCCACCUGGAAUCCCUUCCCAAGUCAUUUUCUAUGUUGUCAUCAGAAACUGAUCUGUCGAUUUUCCUUCGCUUGCUGCCUCUAUUUGAUUUCUCAUCAAUAAUUGACAGCAAAGUUUGAAGACGUUUGGAACGUGAAGUAGUAUUCUGACCAUCCGAAUCAACUGCAGCGUUGGAAGUCCGGCAAAAUUUACGCAGAAUCUGGAUGAAAUAUAUUAGGAGAGCAAUAAAGCAUGCAAUCCCACAUAUAAGAAAUAGG